rnacentral:lncRNA from 1 species
AUGAUUUGCAUGAAACUUAUGCCAAGAAUUUACUUAACGUGAUUGUGACUAGCAACCUUCACUACUUGUGAAUAUAAGUUCAUAACGAUUAGGUGAAACUCCCUUAUAUUCUAGCGUCAAAUUCAUGCAUGAAAAUUAAGCGUGCACUCUCAACCAACAUACACAAAUUAGUUUUUAUACGAACGGAUAAGUAAAUUGAAUUCACAAUUCAAGAAACGCAAUUGGAAGUAAUCAAAUCAUAUAGCAAGAAUAAACAUGGUUUUGAAUCCCCCCCUAGCCAAGGGGGGGUUUAGUUCCUCAUUAUUACAAAACAAAGAUAAACAAAUUUAACCAUUGAAAAACAAAGGGAAGAAAGCACCUAAACGUUCCAACGAUCCAUGUUGGAUAGCAAGCGCGUCCAAGGACUUUUUACUUCUCCUUGCCGCCACAACAAGGUUGGAAUGAUGUUGAAGGGUUGGUUAUUUGGAGGAAUGGAUGGGAAGGGGUUUAGAUAUGUAGGAUAGGCAAGGAAAGGCUUGGAGAAUGGUUAAUUUCUGGAUGCUUUGAAUGAGGUUGCUGCCAUGGUAUUUAUAGGAAGAGGAUGGACAUGUUUAAUGCAAAAAUCUGGUGGAAUGAAGUAGGUAAGGCAUGGCAAGGUGGAGAAUUGUUGGUGAGGGUAGGUUUUGAGUCAUCCACUCACAUGUCAUGGUGAGUUAAGCAUUGCAUCAUCCACUCAAAUGUCAUGGUGAGUUAAGCAUUACAUCAUCCACUCAAAUGUCAUAGUGAGAUAGGCAUUGCAUCAUCACUAAAAAAAUCUGGUGG